GUGGGGAAUCUUGCGCAAUGGGCGAAAGCCUGACGCAGCCAUGCCGCGUGAAUGAUGAAGGUCUUAGGAUUGUAAAAUUCUUUCACCGGGGACGAUAAUGACGGUACCCGGAGAAGAAGCUCCGGCUAACUUCGUGCCAGCAGCCGCGGUAAUACGAAGGGUGCAAGCGUUAUCCGGAUUCACUGGGUUUAAAGGGUGCGUAGGCGGUUUUAUAAGUCAGUGGUUAAAUCAACGGGCUCAACCUGUUAACUGCCAUUGAUACUGUAGGACUUGAAUAUGAGAGAGGUAGGCGGAAUGUUGCAUGUAGCGGUGAAAUGCUUAGAUAUGCUACGGAACACCGAUUGCGAAGGCAGCUUACUAUUUCAUGAUUGACGCUGAGGCACGAAAGCGUGGGUAGCGAACAGGAUUAGAAACCCUUGUAGUCC
rnacentral:rRNA from 1 species